UCCAGACCUAUUUGUUUUAUAAAUCAGUCUGAUGUGUAAGAGCUCUAGCUGUUGUACAACAAUUCUCAAAUGAUUUUCAUUGGCUUAUUUGUUUUAAUUGCACAUAUUUUCAAGUUCACAUUUGCAAACAGUAGGCCUAACCAUGUGAUGUGACCACCACACAUGACGAUGCUCUGACAGACCUCUGAAGUUUGUCUACAAAAAAAAGCUACCAUCUAUGCCCAUAUAAGGAGAUCACCUGUUAAAUUCUCGCGCAGGGAGACGACGAAAUCGGAGACGCAGAUGUUUUCCUCAACGCAUUUUUGUGUUCAACCUUCGAGUAGAUAUUAUAAUCAAUGGUACGUGAAGGCGACACAAUUUGAUUUUUGCUACCCCAGAGCUAACUUGCGACUUGUUAGCAAGUUAGAGAAAUCAAGUUACUGUAGACUCCAGAGGUCUAUGAUGGUCGGAGGUGACAAACUCGCGUGCAGAAGACUCCUACCAGAAAAUGCAGUCUAGAUUUGGCGCCCAGUGAAACCAAGUGAAACGGUGUGUGGGUAUGAAGGAUUGUGCAGAACUUGCCACCACGAAAACUCAGAGAAGCUCAAUUCCACUGAAAAGAGGCCGGCAGCUUCUUAAAAAAUUGAAAGAUACGCUAGACCAUCAGAUCAAAUUGCUGAACAAACAGCAUACCAAAAUGCCUACGUUAUGCACUGUGGAACGCUCUGCGGAUGGACAGCUGUGGAAUCCGCA